CACGUAGGGCGCAAGCGUUGUCCGGAAUUAUUGGGCGUAAAGAGCUCGUAGGCGGUCUGUUGCGUCCGCUGUGAAAACUCGGGGCUUAACCCCGAGCCUGCAGUGGAUACGGGCAGACUAGAGGUAGGUAGGGGAGAAUGGAAUUCCCGGCGUAGCGGUGAAAUGCGCAGAUAUCGGGAGGAACACCGGUGGCGAAGGCGGUUCUCUGGGCCUUACCUGACGCUGAGGAGCGAAAGCGUGGGGAGCGAACAGG
rnacentral:rRNA from 1 species